GUGCACCUCCUUUUAACCUCAACGCAUGGCUUCAGGCCUCCGGUGGAUCCAACAACGCGGAGCUCGGUGGACCAUCGUCUCAGGACGAGACCAUGCAAACGCCUCCUACGGGGGGUAACCCUGACAACCCGCUCGCUCGCUCGCUCUUCUAGGACGUGCAUGAAGGAAGGAGCUAUUCGACGUUUUGAUUACAUGUGAUGAGCUCUAUGCAUGGUUGUACUCUAUUUGUGGUUUGGACUCUAUGUGUGAACUUGUAUUUUAUUUGUGGUUUGGACUAUGUGUGAACUUGUAUGAUCUUAUUAUGGACAUAUGCACUCUAUUUGUGGCUUUGGUUCUUGUAUGCACUUAUUAUGGACAUAUGUUGUGUUGUUUGAUCUUGUAUGUGAUCUAUUUGUGGCAAUAGAUCAUUAUAUUGUGCA